GCUGUCCGCACGAGCGCACCCUUGUCUUAGUUGCUACCUUCUGUUGGGCACUCUAAUGAGACUGCCGGUGACAAAACGGAGGAAGGGGGGGAUGACGUCCAGUCCUCAUGGUCCUUAUAGGUGGGGCUACACCCCUCAUACAAUGGCUGGUACAAAGGGUUGCCAACCCGCGAGGGGGAGCCCCUCCCAUAAAGCCAGUCUUAGUCCGGAUCGCAGUCUGCAACUCGACUGCAUGAAGUCGGAAUCGCUAGUAAUCAUCGAUCAGAAUGUCGCGGUGAAUACCUUCCCCGGGCUUGUACACCCCCGUACCGUUAU
rnacentral:rRNA from 1 species